rnacentral:lncRNA from 1 species
AACGGUGUGUGGUCCUGGCAGGAGGGUGACCGAGGUGGUGGGACUGGCAAGUGGGAUGUGCUUGUGAGGCUGAGGACUUGGUUGUGAUCAUCAGCCUUAGGGCACUGAGACCCCAGAAGCCUGAGCAAGGUCUGCAGUCAGCCCUGCCCCCGCCUUCAGUCAGGCUGGAUGGAGGCCAGGGAGCCUGGGUUCCUCCCAGCCUUGCCCCUCCCUCCCUCCUGCUGAACUCUUCCUACCCGGGCUCUGAACACAUCCCUGAGCUGCAGAGCUGACGUCUGGGUGACAGUGAAACGGGGUAUUCAUUUGUACCAAAACAAACAAACAAACAAACAAAACCUGGAAUGACGGUGUGUGGAUUUCUUGUGUGCUUAUUCGUAGGAUUGAGAAAGGGUGAGGCUAAGGUCCCGAGCCUUCGUGAAGCAAUGGAGAAAGUGCCGUCCCAAGGCUCAGUUCCACACGGCGCUGUGAGGCUGAAGGGGCUCACUGGAAGUUCCCCUCACAGGACGCCACCUCACCUGAAACCCUCUUUUUCUGCUACCAUCCAAGGGACAAGAUCUCCUGAGUUGUCGAAGACUCACUCCGGAAGAAAACCCUCUCAGGCAGUUACUGAGGGACUGUGGUCUGGACUAGAACGUGUUUUUCUCAGUGACACCUCUAGAGGGCAGCACUCAACGGAGUCCCACAGACACCUCCCUGCAUUUCCUCCUCAGACACUGGGUGGAUGAUAUGAUAUGUAGGCUACCCGAGGGCAGAGACUGAGUCUGUCUUGUUCACUGUCUACCUCCAGAACCUCACACAGAAUCUGGCACUUAGUAGGUGCACAACAAAAUAAUCAUUGAAUUAGUAUACUGAGUCUUUAACAGAGUCUCUUUCUGUUUAUUGAGUUGACACGAUGUAUCCAAAAGCAGCUGAAUGCACAACUCAAACUGUCAUCCAAGCACACAAAGAAGGCAUUGAUGAAAAAGCUGAGACAGGUUACAACGGGAGUGCCAGAGAGAUGUCACUUAAAAUGAGAACUUCUCAGGCCUACAGUAUUACUACAAUAUGACCUUAUCACAUGACCCAUGAAAGAAAACAACUCAAGUGCUGGGGUCUCGCUGUGUUGCCUAGACUCAUCUUGAACUCCUGGGCUCAAGCAAUCCUCCCCUAUCGGCCUCCCAAAGUGCUGGGAUUAAAGGUGUGACCCACUGCUCCUGGCCUGCUCCGUCUUUUACUUCACCUCCCCACGAUCUCACAAAUGUCCAUGAUUAGGGAGGGAACGUCACUGGAGGAAAGGCACUGAGCUGCAGAGCUGAUGUCUGGGUGACAAUGAAACAGGGUAUUCAUUUGUACACAGAAAACAACCUGGAAUGGAAGUGUGUGGAUUUCUUGUGUGCUUAUUUCCUCAUAGGUUUGAGAAAGGUGAGUCCCAAGCCCUCGUGAAGCAUUGGAGAAAGUGCCGCCCCGAGGUUCAGGUCCACACAGCGCUGUGAGGCUGAAGGGGCGCGCUAGAAGUUCCUUUCACAGGACGCCACCUCACCUGAAACCCUCCUUUUCUGCUGACACCCGAGGGACAAGAUCUUCUGAGUUUUUCCAUUACUUACUCUGGAGGAAAACCCUCAGGCAGUUAGUUACUGAGGGACUCUGGUCUGGACUGGGAAGUGUUUUUCUCAGUGACACCUCUAGAAGGCAGCACUUAGCGGAGUCCCACAGACACCUCCCAGCAUUUCCUGCUCAAACACUGGGAGGAUGGCCUGGUAACACUGGGGAAUGCCUGGGUGUUCUAGAAGCCCCCACCCCUGAUUUUAACCACGUGUUUUCUUAUCUGAGUCCUUGUAGACAUGUAUGUAGUCUGCCUUAGGGCAGGAAUUGUGUCUACCUUGUUCACUGCCAAUCCUCAGGACAGAACCUGGCACUUAAUAGGUGCACAACAAAAUAACCACUGGCUGAAUAUACUCAGUAUUUAACAGGCAGUUUGUCACAAUCCACUCCCUCCCUGACCUCAUUGUGGUUUAUAGUUUAUGUUUAAUGACAUUUAGUUUCCAUGUACUUAGCAUUUUAUUGUAUAAAUUUCUCAUAUAUAUAAAAAAUACACAUAAAAUACAAUGGUCCUCUUUGUUUCAAUCAUCUAGCUGCAGUAAUCACCAACCCAAGCCUGUCUUUCAUUUGUAUGCCCAGCUUCUCUCCUCCUCUGUCAUAAUAUGAAACAAAUCUGAGGUAUCAUAUUAUCUCAUCCUAAAUACUUCAGUGUGUAUCUCUGAAACAUAACAGAAACAUCAUACCUAACAUCACAAAAUGACACUAAAAAAUUUAACAGUAAUUCUUUAAUAUUAUCUAACAUUCAAUCAAUAUUCAGGUUUCUAAUUUUUAUGUGUCAUAAGU